rnacentral:lncRNA from 1 species
UUGGAUGCACGAGUCCUUUUGUCCAUCAGCUUACGCCGACAGAUGUGGAGACUCACUACAAGAUGGUAUGUUUCGUUAGAUAUGAUUUUUUUUCUUAGUGUUUUUUUGUAGUAUUUUAGGAACGCACUUUUUUCUUUGUGUUUUUUGAAGCGUACUGCAAUGUGUUCUUAUUUUCUUGUUUUUUUUCCUCGUGUGCAUGUAGCUUAUGUUUUAGUUUACAGGUUAGAAUAUGUGAACUGCUUAUAUAUUAGCUGAGCACUUCAUAUUUCUACAUUUUUUCCAAUUUUGUAUGGUGUGUACUACAUGUAGCUAGUCUAUAGCACUGCAUGAUUAUUCGAAGAGAACUGCAUAUUUGUACUACUUGUUGGACUAUUGUGCACUUCAUCUAUCUCUGUUCAAAACAUGAGAAUUGUACUGCUAGUUUCAUUCUCAAACAGUUUUAUUAUUUUUUACAGAAAAUUCCUCAGCGAGCUGUUAGGUAUGUGCGGCUCAAGAAGAAAGGAAUUCUUGAAGUUGUUCUUGGUAAUGGAUACCUUAAACCAGCCAAGUACAGUGUAAGCGUUGACGGGCGGCUGUGUCUGCACAAAGGGUGGAAGGAAUUUGUCAUUGAUAGCGGCCUGAAGUCUGAGCAAGUUGUUGUCCUCAACUUCUUUGAACUCGAGGAUCGUACUGUUAGAAUCACGUUUGAUGUGAUUGGCUAAGGUUAUGAGGUUGAUUUGUAAUAAGUACUUCUGCGUGUUGAACGCUUU